GCCGUCGCAUGCUGAUGAAAAAUGUACAAAUUCAGUUAACGCUGAUGUGCCUGGUUUCAGACUUUUUCGAGGACUGGGUGGAUGUGGAAAUUGUCGAUGUCUGUUUUAACCUCAUCAGUUCUGGAUGUACAUAGUGUUCCUAAGAAGUACGCUGAUUCCAUUGAGACAUCUUUUGCGCCUUUUUAUUUUUCUCAGUAAAACAUUUUUUUCUACCUUUUACAUAUGUACAUUUUCUAUUAAAAUAACCAAUUAGAGACUAACUUGCUGUCCUUUCAAUCAAUUUCUCUUAAAAUGCCAGUAUUACUCAGGGUACAGUUGUUACGAAAUAUUUUCGACUUCAAAUCACCUUUGAAACACAAAUAAUUUGUGGCCUUUGAGCUUUAAGUGUGUGAGG